UGGACAUUUAUUUUUAUUCAGUUUCUUCUCAAGGUGAAGAUAACUCUUUGUAAAUGUCCUACAGAAAUAUAGUAGCUUUCUGUUCAUCCUUUGCAAGUAAAAAGGGUGGGUCGUUCCACUACUGACAUUU
ensembl:scaRNA